rnacentral:ncRNA from 2 species
ACUCAUAGCUAGGGGUGUUUAGAUUACUAGACUGAGAAAAAACCCUUAGAACCUGAGACUGGAUAAUACCAGCGUAGGAAAGCUGUUUAUUGAGGAA